rnacentral:rRNA from 1 species
UAAACGAUAAACCACGAAUAUCUUACCUGUUUUAUGUUUGUAUACCGUCAUUAUCAGACAAUUUUAAAAGAGUAAAUUGUUGAAAAUAAAAUAGUUAAAAAAAUUAGAUCAAGGUGCAGCUUAUGUUCAGGAGAAAAUGGGUUACAAUAAAAAUAGUUUAAUAUGGAGCUUUUUCUGAAAUUGGAGAAGUGAAGGUGGAUUUAAUUGUAAUUAUGUUUGAUUAAAAAAAUUUGAUAUAGGCUCUAAAAUAUGUACAUAUCGCCCGUCGCUCGCGGGAAAA